rnacentral:rRNA from 1 species
GAGGAGGGCCCGGAGAAGGGUACUGAGACACGGACCCAGGCCCUAUGGGGCGCAGCAGGCGAGAAACCUUUGCAAUGUGCGAAAGCACGACAAGGUUAAUCCGAGUGUCUCCUGCUAAAGGAGUCUUUUGUCAGUUGUAGAAUCACUGGUGAAUAAGGGGUGGGCAAGUUCUGGUGUCAGCCGCCGCGGUAAAACCAGCACCUCGAGUGGUCAGGAGGUUUAUUGGGCCUAAAGCAUCCGUAGCCGGUUGCAUAAGUUUUCGGUUAAAUCUAUGCGCUUAACGUAUAGGCCGCCGAAAAUACUGUGCAGCUAGGGAGUGGGAGAGGUACACGGUACUCGAUAGGAAGGGGUAAAAUCCUUUGAUCUAUUGAAGACCACCUGUGGCGAAGGCGGUGUACCAGAACACGUUCGACGGUGAGGGAUGAAAGCUGGGGGAGCAAACCGGAUUAGAUACCCGGGUAGUCCCAGCUGUAAACGAUGCAGACUCGGUGAUGCAUUGGCUUGUGGCCAAUGCAGUGCCGCAGGGAAGCCGUUAAGUCUGCCGCCUGGGAAGUACGUACGCAAGUAUGAACUAAAGGAUUGGCGGGGGAGCACCACAAGGGGUGAAGCGUGCGGUUCAAUUGGAGUCACGCACGGGAUGUAGAGCAUUG